AAGUUUAUAACUUAAGGGUCACGGUGGAGUGGUUGAGACUUCGGUCUCCCAACCACUAUGACCUAGGUUCAACCCCCUAUGCCAUCACUUCCCUUGUUUAUUUCGUGUUCUAUUUUAUUUCCCAUUUUUGAAUUUUUUUUCUUAUAUAUAUUUAUGGAGACAUUUUCUUAUCACAAAUAGGUUAAUGGGGGAGUGGUUGAAGCUUCAUGCCUUCUGUCCCCAUAUCCUGGGUUCAAAUUCUUGUUGUCAUUUUUUCCAUUUUUUUCCUUUUUCUUUAUUUUUUAAUCUUUGUCUUUUUAUUUCUUUUUGCAUUUUUUUAACCAUCCAAAUUGUUUUUCUUUCUAAUAUUUAUGACACAUAUUUUUACUUGUGAUAUUACAUUUACAAUUUUAUUUAUGUUUUUAUUUUUUCCAUUUAUUUUAUUCUGAUUAUGGCCAUUGUAAGUACGCCAUUUUAAUGUUUAAAAAAAUAAUGUCAUACUUGUGAAUUUUUGCCUUGUUCCUUUGAAUAUUUUCAUUGCUAAACAUCAUAUUUUAAUAUGUGAAUUCGACAUUUCCCAUGUCAUUGUUCCAACGAUUAUUUUAUCGAUACAUGGAUUGUAUUUCGCCAUGUUUUGACCAUUUGCAUGCGAUG
rnacentral:lncRNA from 1 species